rnacentral:rRNA from 1 species
CCUACGGGUGGCAGCAGUGGGGAAUAUUGGACAAUGGGCGAAAGCCUGCUCCAGCCAUGCCGCGUGUGUGAAGAAGGCCUUCGGGUUGUAAAGCACUUUCAGUGGGGAAGAAAGCCUUGGGGCUAAUACCCUCGAGGAAGGACAUCACCCACAGAAGAAGCACCGGCUAACUCCGUGCCAGCAGCCGCGGUAAUACGGAGGGUGCGAGCGUUAAUCGGAAUUACUGGGCGUAAAGCGCGCGUAGGCGGUCUGAUAAGCCGGUUGUGAAAGCCCCGGGCUCAACCUGGGAACGGCAUCCGGAACUGUCAGGCUAGAGUGCAGGAGAGGAAGGUAGAAUUCCCGGUGUAGCGGUGAAAUGCGUAGAGAUCGGGAGGAAUACCGGUGGCGAAGGCGGCCUUCUGGACUGACACUGACGCUGAGGUUCGAAAGCGUGGGUAGCAAACAGGAUUAGAUACCCGGGUAGUC